UGAAACUGGGUUUCGAGUUCAAGGUAGGCCAACGAACUCGGGCAGUGUUCAAAGUGUGCGAUUGUGGUUGGCAGAAUUCGGAUGCUUUUUGGCAAAAGCAAAUUUUUGGUGAAACAUUGUGGCGAAUAUACAUACAUACGUACUUAAUACUUAACCCUUCAGCUUUACCAAAAAACUACUACUUGGAGGAUUUCUAAGCGCCUCUGGAUUUUGUUAUCAAUCGCAUUGAGCACUAAGUGAACAAAUACAUAAAUAGAUUAGAGGCUACAGUUAAAUGUACCACAACAGGCACUACCAACAGUAACAGUAGCACUAGCAACCAUACCCACACCUUAGAUUUGUCGCUGGCUGGAAGGACCACAAUUAUCGCACCAGUGCGACGUGCUCUCAUUUUCAUUUUCAUUGCCAUUGCGAUUCUCAUUUUCUCAUUCAUUUAUUUAUUUUCAGUCUCAUUUUCAUUCUGUUACUUCUAAUACUUCACUCGCAUUAAUUUGGUUUUUUCCGUGUUUCCUCUUAGUGUUUUUACGCAUUUUUUGUUUUCAUCAGCAGAUUCGUAAUUUCGGGCACCAUUGAUAGCAACAGCUGAUGGCGGUAAUGAAGUGACGGAAAAGGAUGCUGGUGAUGUUAAUGAGCCAUACUUGAAGAAAUGAUUGCAGCUGUGGGUAGUGAAGUUGACCACAGUCGCUUUCCAGAAGGAGUUGCUUUUACCUCUCCAAUGCAUUGCUACAAAAUAUGUUCAGUUUAU